CUCGGGAGGCUGAGGCAGGAGAAUCACUUGAACCUGGCAGGCGUUCAAGGUUCAAGGUGGCAGGGUUGCAGUGAGCCAAGAUCACACCACUGUACUCCAGCCUGGCCGACAGAGGAAGACUCUGUCUCAAAAAAAAAAAAAAAAAAAAAAAAAAAAAACCGACAAAAUUGGAACAAAAAUUUUUAGUGGUGGCUCACGCCUGUAAUCCCAACACUUUGGGAGGCUGAGGUGGGAGGAUCCCUUGAGACCAGGAGUUUGAAACCAGCCUGGGCAAAAAAAUGAGACCAUGUUGUCUCUAUGAAAAAUAAACAUAAAAAAUAACUGGGCAUGGUGGCAUGCACCUGUGUUCUCAGCUGCAUGGGAGGCUGAGGUGGUAGGAUUGCUUGAGCCCACAAAGUUGAGGAUGCAGUUAGCUAUGUUCUCACCACUGUACUCCAGCCUGAGCAACAGAGCCAGACCCUGUCCCAGACAAAAAGCAAAAUAAAAAUCUUAGUAUUAUGGUGCUUGCAAAGGAGAAAUACAGAUGGCUCAGCAGUGGAGAGUCAUGGAAGGAUCUUGAACUAGUGGGUGACAAACUCAGAUUUUAAUUACAACAAAGCUUUGAUAGCUUCAGUGAGUUGGUGGAUAUUGAAGGGAAGAAAAUAGUUCAGGAGACAAAUGAGGAAACGUUUACAGUGCUUGAGCUGGGGGAUAGCAUAAAGUCCUGAGCUAGGAUAAUGGCCAUGGGAAUGAGGAGGGAAUGGGGAUAGUGAUGCUGACACGGUGGCUGUCCUUGGGCAGGUGAUGCAGGGCGUGAGAAAGCUGACGCAGGUGCAUGCAAGUGGGUCUCAGAUGCUCUGCUGGUCUUCAGCCUAGCUGGACACAGUGGUGCUCAGUACCACUGUGUAACCACUACUCAAGUGUAGGUUGACUUCUUCCAUCAUCCCUGCUAUGGUAUUAAUGGGUGUGUCCCUCCAAAAUUCAAAUGUGGAUACCUAAUCCCUAAGGUGAUGGCAUUAGAAAGUGGAAGGUGGGGUCUCCAGGAAGCAAUUAGGUCGUGAAGGUUGCACCCUCAUGAAUGGGAUUAAUUCCCCUAUAAAAGAAGCUUCAGGCGGGGUGCAGUGGCUCAUGCCUAUAAUCCCAGAACUUUG
rnacentral:lncRNA from 10 species